rnacentral:rRNA from 1 species
GAUGAACGCUGGCGGCGUGCCUAAUACAUGCAAGUCGAGCGAACAGACGAGUAGCUUUCUCCUCUGACGUUAGCGGCGGACGGGUGAGUAACACGUGGAUAACCCACCUAUAAGACUGGGAUAACUUCGGGAAACCGGAGCUAAUACCGGAUAAUAUAUGGAACCGCAUGGUUCAAUAGUGAAAGACGGUUUUGCUGUCACUUAUAGAUGGAUCCGCGCCGCAUUAGCUAGUUGGUAAGGUAACGGCUUACCAAGGCAACGAUGCGUAGCCGACCUGAGAGGGUGAUCGGCCACACUGGAACUGAGACACGGUCCAGACUCCUACGGGAGGCAGCAGUAGGGAAUCUUCCGCAAUGGGCGAAAGCCUGACGGAGCAACGCCGCGUGAGUGAUGAAGGUCUUCGGAUCGUAAAACUCUGUUAUUAGGGAAGAACAAAUGUGUAAGUAACUAUGCACGUCUUGACGGUACCUAAUCAGAAAGCCACGGCUAACUACGUG